AACAAAGAAAAUAAGCUCAUUAGGUUUAGGUGCAACAAAGAGGGCUAUCACAACCAUCCAUCCACAGAUCCAAGCAUAUCCUACAUGCCUGCCGGUGCGUGCGGCCACCAUGAGUGCGUAAUCAAGAGCUACAGAACACAAUUAAGCUACACAAUCAGACACAAACAUAGGGAUGUCUUUUUACCACUGGCACACGUACAAGGAGAGGCAUUAUUCAGUAGUAGUAUAGCUGCAUAGGCUCAAACUAACCAUCUCGUCGUAGGCACGCGCGCAGCCAUGCUCGCUCGCUAGGAGCCGCCGCCGUUGCCGGUGUCCUCGUUUCCUCCUCCUCCUCCCCCGCCGCCGCCACCGCCCGAAGUCGUUGGCGUCCCGCCGCCGCCGGUCCAGUCGGCGAUGAUGGUCUUGAUGAUGCUGCCGCGCUUGGGGUUCCGGUUCCCGUCGGGCUUCGGCCUCUGGCCCUGGCCGCCAUCCUGCCCAUCCAUGGCGUCGCGCGCGUGCAAGCAAGCCCCGCCCGGCCGGCCCAGAGAAGCGUAGGCGAGUGGACGAGUGUGGUGGGUGCGAGCUAGAGUGGGAGCUAUGCCCCUAUGAGCAAGUGGUCGGCUUUAUAGCGCUAAACACAGUAGCAUUGUUAAUUGUUAGGACAGUCUUCUGAUUUGGCGCUCCGGGCAUGAAGUAUUCUUGCAUCCAGACCGGCGACUAAUCCACGACGAUGACGCCUUGGGAUGGGAGUGGGUAGUUCAGUGUGAUUCUUGUACAAUGCAGGGUCUAUCGGGAGGUGGUAGUGUACUAGCUUAACUUUGGAGCAACGCGUGUGUGAUUGGAU
rnacentral:lncRNA from 1 species